rnacentral:siRNA from 1 species
UCACCUCGGUAUGGGUUCUUGAC